rnacentral:rRNA from 1 species
UACGUAGGCAGCAAGCGUUGUUCGGAGUUACUGGGCGUAAAGGGUGUGUAGGCGGUUCUUUAAGUUUGGUGUGAAAUCUCCCGGCUCAACCGGGAGGGUGCGCCGAAUACUGAGGGACUAGAGUGCGGGAGAGGAAAGUGGAAUUCCUGGUGUAGCGGUGAAAUGCGUAGAUAUCAGGAGGAAUACCGAUGGCGAAGGCAGGUCUCUGGGCUGACACUGACGCUGAGGCACGAAGGCCAGGGGAGCAAACGGG